rnacentral:rRNA from 1 species
GACGAACGCUGGCGGCGUGCUUAACACAUGCAAGUCGAACGGAAAGGCCCUGCUCUUGUGGGGUGCUCGAGUGGCGAACGGGUGUGUAACACGCGAGUAACCUGCCCCUGACAUUGUGAUAACUUCAGGAAACUGGGGCUCAUACCGGGUAUGAGCUCCUGCUGCAUGGUGGGGGUUGGAAAGAUUCGGCGGUUGGGGCUGGUCUCGCGGCUUAUCGGCUGGUUGGUGUGGUAGUGGCUUACCAAGGUUGCGACGGAUAGCCGGCCUUGGAGGGUUACCGGCGACAUGGGGACUAAGAGAGGGACCAGACUCCAACGGGAGGCAGCAGUGGAGAAUAUUGCGGAGUGGGCGGAAGCGUGAGGCAGCAGCGCCGCGUGCGGAAUGACGGCCUUCGGGUGGUAAACCGAUUUCGCCUGUGACGAAGCGUGAGUGACGGUAAUGGGUAAAGAAGCACCGGCUAACUACGUG